rnacentral:rRNA from 1 species
UACGUAGGGUGCAAGCGUUAAUCGGAAUUACUGGGCGUAAAGCGUGCGCAGGCGGUUAUGUAAGACAGGUGUGAAAUCCCCGGGCUUAACCUGGGAACUGCAUUUGUGACUGCAUAGCUAGAGUACGGUAGAGGGGGAUGGAAUUCCGCGUGUAGCAGUGAAAUGCGUAGAUAUGCGGAGGAACACCGAUGGCGAAGGCAAUCCCCUGGACCUGUACUGACGCUCAGGUGCGAAAGCGUGGGGAGCAAACAGG